GUACUGCUGCAGAGUCCCAAAUGAGCUAGGACGAAACAGCUGUCCUGUAC
rfam:Trichobilharzia regenti genome assembly, scaffold: TRE_scaffold0023801